UUUCUCGCGAGGUGGGAUUUGAGAACCCGUUAAAGGAAGAUCCGACCCGAAUUUGUUCAUUAAUGUUGGUUCACGAGGGCUCAUACGAGGAUAAACCAGCUAUAUCGGGUGGGUUUUAUCCAUAUAUAGUUGGGUUACAAUAUCAAAUCCGGAGCCACAAGUAUUCGUUGCUGGCGGAUUCGGGUUGGGUUGCUGUGCAGCCUCAAGCGGACUCGGUUAUGGUCACCGUAGGCGACAUUGCUCAGGUGUGGAGCAAUGGGAGAUUGAAGAAAGUAAGAGGAAGACCACUGGCUUGCAUGGGAGAAGGCAAAAAUUCAAGCUCCAUAUCAAUGC
rnacentral:misc_RNA from 1 species